GACGAACGCUGGCGGCGUGCCUAACACAUGCAAGUCGAGCGAGGAGAUUCCCUUCGGGGAUGAACCUAGCGGCGGACGGGUGAGUAACACGUGGGCAACCUGCCUUGUAGAGGGGAAUAGCCUUCCGAAAGGAAGAUUAAUACCGCAUAACAUUAUUUUAUCGCAUGAUAGAAUAAUUAAAGGAGCAAUCCGCUACAAGAUGGGCCCGCGGCGCAUUAGCUAGUUGGUGAGGUAACGGCUCACCAAGGCGACGAUGCGUAGCCGACCUGAGAGGGUGAUCGGCCACAUUGGGACUGAGACACGGCCCAAACUCCUACGGGAGGCAGCAGUGGGGAAUAUUGCACAAUGGGGGAAACCCUGAUGCAGCAACGCCGCGUGAAUGAUGAAGGUCUUCGGAUCGUAAAGUUCUGUCUUCAGGGACGAUAAUGACGGUACCUGAGGAGGAAGCCACGGCUAACUACGUGCCAGCCGCCGCAGUAACAC
rnacentral:rRNA from 1 species